rnacentral:tRNA from 1 species
CGAGCAAGCCGCUAUGGUGAAAUCGGUAGACACGCUGCUCUUAGGAAGCAGUGCUAGAGCAUCUCGGUUCGAGUCCGAGUGGCGGCAUGCCAUCUUCU